GCUCCCACCUGCUCCCCAUCUCUUCCCCCCUCCUUAAAGCCGCCUCCAGCGCCCUGCAAAACCCUAGCCUCUCUCCCCUUCCUCCGCCGCCACCCUGGUUCCUUUCUCCUCCUCUUCCUGUACAUUCACGUGAAGGAGCUGAGAACACCCCCAAGUCCCCGCCAUGGCGUUGCCGCUACCGACCACCCCUCGUCGAGCCGAGACCACCAACAGACGCGGCUCGUCGUCCCCGUCAACCGCCUCCAAGGAAUCGAACCGAAACCUCUCCAAUCGCCCGCAAAAUCGCCGAUUCCUCUCUCCGUCGGUCGAACUCCGGCGACGUUUUCGGUCGCCUCUGUCCUUCCCCGGCCUCCUAGUCUGCGCCAUGAGCUUCAGGGAGCUCGACCCCGGCGAUGCUCCGGUGAGCCCCUGGACUCCGCACCGCCACCAACAGGUUCACCGCGGCAAGGCGCUUCCCCGACACCGUCUUACCCAUCCUGGUUCGCCCGGAACCUCCAUAUUCGUGCUCAACCAGAGUUGUUUUCCGCCAUGACCUUCAUCCUCCUGCUCCGUGUGUGCUGCUUCAUGUUGCCGUGCGCCUGAUACUGUUCAUCGAUCCACAUCUAGCUUAACUGAUCCACACGCAGAUGGGCCUGGCCCCAGAUCCGCCUGGCACAGCCCAACGGCCCGCUCGAACCUACCUUCCCUUGUCGGCCAGCAUUUGCUUCUUCCCGGAUAGGAUCACGAAGUGGUGUGGUGAGAUACGACAAGUUCUCCGGAUGUUCCUCAACGAGCUUUAACAGGCAAGCAUUUCCCCUAUACUCCUGUCCCUGCAGGAGUCGCUCACCUAUUUUAUUUUGCCUUCUCCCUCAUGCUAUCCUUAAGUUGCGUUCUUGUCACGUGUCCUUUCCACUUGUUACCUUAAGCAGCCCAUAUUGCCACCAUCACCUCCCACGGCUAUUGUUUGGUUAUCGAGUCUGCCCUUGCGAGUCGUAGUGCAUGCUAGUGCUGUUUUAUCUCGUUACCGUUAUUGUUAUCUUAUCGGGUUAUAUGUUGGGAAGAAUCAUGGUUACUUUAGUUGUUGACAUUUGUUUAGCGGAGGCAUCGGUGGGUCAGCUGCUCGUUUUAUGACGGCUCACUUGUGUUUCAUAAAUAUCUUAGGACCCCGAGUACUUGUUAUCUGUUCCGAGACUGAGCGCUCUAACCACACGUGGGUAUGCUUACCGGGUCUCCCCUCGACCACUGCCGGAAUCUACAGUUUUGUCCAGUGGCCACAACUAGUUUGGAUGUUUGUUUUGUUUCUCUCGGGCGUGCAAGCAUGUUUCUUUGUGGUCAGAUGAUAUGAUGUUACUUUUGGGGAAGCCGUGAGUGCCUUGUAUCCCCGUUUUCUCUUGCACGUCCGUAGGUGCGGCACGUAUUGUUAAGAGGUCAUCCUCUAGUGGGCUCUGAUCCUCUUAGCCGUUCUCGCAAUAGCUAGGUCCGCGUCGGAGUUUCGAUCGGGCUCCGAAACGGGUUAACUUAGUUAGGUGGCUUCCUGGAUAUUGUUGUAGUGAAGGAGAGUGCGUGUCGUGAUAUCCACCUGUCGUAAGUGGGUUGAGCGUGCGUGUGGGCA